rnacentral:rRNA from 1 species
GACAGAGGGGGCAAGCGUUUCUCGGAAUUACUGGGCGUAAAGGGCGCGUAGGCGGGAUGGCAAGUCGGUCGUGAAAUCCCUCGGCUCAACCGAGGAACGUCGAUCGAUACUGCUGUUCUUGAGGAUUGCAGAGGAGACUGGAAUUCCCGGUGUAGCGGUGAAAUGUGUAGAGAUCGGGAGGAACACCGGUGGCGAAGGCGGGUCUCUGGGCAAUUCCUGACGCUGAGGCGCGAAAGCGUGGGGAGCAAACGGG